GAUGAACGCUGGCGGCGUGCCUAAUACAUGCAAGUCGAGCGAACGGACGAGAAGCUUGCUUUUCUGAUGUUAGCGGCGGACGGGUGAGUAACACGUGGAUAACCUACCUAUAAGACUGGGAUAACUUCGGGAAACCGGAGCUAAUACCGGAUAAUAUUUUGAACCGCAUGGUUCAAAAGUGAAAGACGGUCUUGCUGUCACUUAUAGAUGGAUCCGCGCUGCAUUAGCUAGUUGGUAAGGUAACGGCUUACCAAGGCAACGAUGCAUAGCCGACCUGAGAGGGUGAACGGCCAAACUGGAAACGAGACAAGGGUCAGAAUCCUACGGGAGGCAGGAGGAGGGAAUCCUUCGCAAAGGGCGAAAGGCUGAAGGAGCAACGGCGCGUGAGUGAUGAAGGUCCUCGGAUCGUAAAAAUCUGUUAUUAGGGAAGAACAUAUGUGUAAGUAACUGCGCACAUCUUGACGGUACCUAAUCAGAAAGCCACGGCUAACUACGU
rnacentral:rRNA from 1 species